GAUCCUGGCUCAGGACGAACGCUGGCGGCGUGCUUAACACAUGCAAGUCGAACGAGAGGAGAAGGAAGCUUGCUUCUUUCAAAUCUAGUGGCAAACGGGUGAGUAACACGUAAACAACCUGCCUUCAGGAUGGGGACGAACAGACGGAAACGACUGCUAAUACCGAAUACGUUCCUUAGGUCGCAUGACUUUAGGUAAGAAAGGGUGGCCUCUACUUGUAAGCUAUCGCCUGAAGAGGGGUUUGGUCGUCUGAUUAGG
rnacentral:rRNA from 1 species